CAGUCGCCGCGGGAAUACGUAGGGUGCGAGCGUUAAUCGGAAUUACUGGGCGUAAAGCGUGCGCAGGCGGUUCGUUAAGACAGAUGUGAAAUCCCCGGGCUUAACCUGGGAACUGCAUUUGUGACUGGCGAGCUAGAGUAUGGCAGAGGGGGGUAGAAUUCCACGUGUAGCAGUGAAAUGCGUAGAGAUGUGGAGGAAUACCGAUGGCGAAGGCAGCCCCCUGGGCCAAUACUGACGCUCAUGCACGAAAGCGUGGGGAGCAAACAGGAUUAGAGACCCCAGUAGUCCCUGUCUCUUAUAC
rnacentral:rRNA from 1 species